GAUGAACGCUGGCGGCGUGCCUAAUACAUGCAAGUCGAGCGGAAAGGCCCUUCGGGGUACUCGAGCGGCGGACGGCUGAGUAACGCGUAGGAACGCACCCCAAAGUGAGGGAUAACUGCUCGAAAGAGUAGCUAAUACCGCAUGUGCUCUCCGGAGUAAAGCUUCGGCGCUUUGGGAACGGCCUGCGUCCUAUUAGCUAGUUGGUGAGGUAAUUGCUCACCAAGGCGACGAUAGGUAGCUGGUCUGAGAGGAUGAUCAGCCAGACUGGGACUGAGACACGGCCCAGACUCCUACGGGAGGCAGCAGUAGGGAAUUUUCCACAAUGGGCGAAAGCCUGAUGGAGCAACGCCGCGUGCAGGGUGAAUGCCUUCGGGUUGUAAACUGCUUUUAUAGGUGAAGAAUAUGACGGUAACCUAUGAAUAAGGAUCGGCUAACUCCGUGCCAGCCGCCGCCGUAA
rnacentral:rRNA from 1 species